GACGAACGCUGGCGGCGUGCUUAACACAUGCAAGUCGAGCGGUAAGGCCCUUUCGGGGGUACACGAGCGGCGAACGGGUGAGUAACACGUGGGUGACCUGCCCUCAGCUCUGGGAUAAGCCUGGGAAACCGGGUCUAAUACUGGAUAUGACUCCAUGACGCAUGUUGUGGGGUGGAAAGCCUUGUGCGGCUGAGGAUGGGCCCGCGGCCUAUCAGCUUGUUGGUGGGGUGAGGCCUACCAAGGCGACGACGGGUAGCCGGCCUGAGAGGGCGACCGGCCACACUGGGACUGAGACACGGCCCAGACUCCUACGGGAGGCAGCAGUGGGGAAUCUUGCGCAAUGGGCGAAAGCCUGACGCAGCGACGCCGCGUGAGGGAUGACGGCCUG
rnacentral:rRNA from 1 species